GGUAGUCCACGCCGUAAACGAUGUCGACUUGGAGGUUGUGCCCUUGAGGCGUGGCUUCCGGAGCUAACGCGUUAAGUCGACCGCCUGGGGAGUACGGCCGCAAGGUUAAAACUCAAAUGAAUUGACGGGGGCCCGCACAAGCGGUGGAGCAUGUGGUUUAAUUCGAUGCAACGCGAAGAACCUUACCUACUCUUGACAUCCAGAGAACUUAGCAGAGAUGCUUUGGUGCCUUCGGGAACUCUGAGACAGGUGCUGCAUGGCUGUCGUCAGCUCGUGUUGUGAAAUGUUGGGUUAAGUCCCGCAACGAGCGCAACCCUUAUCCUUUGUUGCCAGCGGUUCGGCCGGGAACUCAAAGGAGACUGCCAGUGAUAAACUGGAGGAAGGUGGGGAUGACGUCAAGUCAUCAUGGCCCUUACGAGUAGGGCUACACACGUGCUACAAUGGCGCAUACAAAGAGAAGCGACCUCGCGAGAGCAAGCGGACCUCAUAAAGUGCGUCGUAGUCCGGAUUGGAGUCUGCAACUCGACUCCAUGAAGUCGGAAUCGCUAGUAAUCGUAGAUCAGAAUGCUACGGUGAAUACGUUCCCGGGCCUUGUACACACCGCCCAUCACACCAUGGGAGUGGGUUGCAAAGGAAGUAGGUAGCUUAACCUUCGGGAGGGCGCUUACCACUUUGUGAUUCAUGACUGGGGUGAAGUCGUAACAAGGUAACCGUAGGGGAACCCUGC
rnacentral:rRNA from 1 species